GUAGGUGGCAAGCGUUGUCCGGGAAUUAUUGGGGCGUAAAGCGCGCGCAGGCGGUUUUUUAAGUCUGAUGUGAAAGCCCACGGGCUCAACCGUGGAGGGUCAUUGGAAACUGGAGAACUUGAGUACAGAAGAGGAAAGCGGAAUUCCACGUGUAGCGGUGAAAUGCGCAGAGAUGUGGAGGAACACCAGUGGCGAAGGCGGCUUUCUGGUCUGUAACUGACGCUGAGGCGCGAAAGCGUGGGGAGCAAACAGGAUUAGAUACCCUGGUAGUCCACGCCGUAAACGAUGAGUGCUAAGUGUUAGGGGGUUUCCGCCCCUUAGUGCUGCAGCUAACGCAUUAAGCACUCCGCCUGGGGAGUACGGCCGCAAAGGCUG
rnacentral:rRNA from 1 species